CAGUCGUACUUAUGGGUAAUCAGCUUUUUGAGUAUGAUUAUGUGGAUUGUGAGGAGUUAAUCACCCUCAUGUUUUACGUAUUCGUGCUCUUGGGUGUACUUGCCCGUGUGGUAGGUUAACAUCAAUUUUGGUCGUCAUAAAAUGACUGGAGGAAUGUAGCUUUGGUCUCGUAUCGAAGUGUUAUAGACUCUGGUAGAUGUGACGUAGUUGGGGAUUGGA
rnacentral:rRNA from 1 species